GAUGAACGCUGGCGGCGUGCCUAAUACAUGCAAGUCGAGCGAACGGACGAGAAGCUUGCUUCUCUGAUGUUAGCGGCGGACGGGUGAGUAACACGUGGAUAACCUACCUAUAAGACUGGUAUAACUUCGGGAAACCGUAGCUAAUACCGGAUAAUAUUUUGAACCGCAUGGUUCAAAAGUGAAAGACGGUCUUGCUGUCACUUAUAGAUGGAUCCGCGCUGCAUUAGCUAGUUGGUAAGGUAACGGCUUACCAAGGCAACGAUGCAUAGCCGACCUGAGAGGGUGAUCGGCCACACUGGAGCGGAGACACGGACAUGCCUCCUGCGGGAGGCAGCAGUAGCGAAUAUUCCGCAAAGGGGGAGAGCCUGACGGAGUAAGCGGGUGUGGGAUGUAACGGUCCUGGGUUCGUAAGAACGUGUUUUUAGGGAUGAACAUAUUUGUACGUUGCCGUACACAUCUUGACGGUACUUUAUCAAAAAGCCACGGCUAACUACGUG
rnacentral:rRNA from 1 species